AGUGAACGCUGGCGGUAUGCCUAACACAUGCAAGUCGAACGGCCGCACAGUAAGCGUUCGCCCUUACUGUUGGCGAGUGGCGGAUGGGUGAGGAGUACAUCGCCAUCUUCUUUUUCUUGGGGGAUAUCGUAGGGCAAGUUAUGCUAAUACCGCAUACUUUCUACGGGUGGAAUCAAGGGAUAAUCGCAGCUUUGGCGUUUGUUUUAGCUGGUUCCGGGUUGCAUUAGCUAGUUGGUAAGGUAACGGCCUACCAAGGCAACGAUGCAUAGCCGACCUGAGAGGGUGAUCGGCCACACUGGAACUGAGACACGGUCCAGACUCCUACGGGAGGCAGCAGUAGGGAAUAUUGGGCAAUGGGCGCAAGCCUGAUGCAGCAAUGCCGCGUGAGUGAUGAAGGCCUUCGGAUCGUAAAGCUCUGUUAUUGGGGAAGAAAAGAUGCAGAUUAAUCCCUCGCUAUUUUGACGGUACCCAAAGAGAAAGCACCGGCUAACUUCGUG
rnacentral:rRNA from 1 species